rnacentral:rRNA from 1 species
AGAACGAACGCUGGCGGCAUGCCUAACACAUGCAAGUCGAACGAGACCUUCGGGUCUAGUGGCGCACGGGUGCGUAACGCGUGGGAAUCUGCCCUUGGGUACGGAAUAACAGUGGGAAACUACUGCUAAUACCGUAUAAUGACUUCGGUCCAAAGAUUUAUCGCCCAGGGAUGAGCCCGCGUAGGAUUAGCUUGUUGGUGAGGUAAGAGCUCACCAAGGCGACGAUCCUUAGCUGGUCUGAGAGGAUGAUCAGCCACACUGGGACUGAGACACGGCCCAGACUCCUACGGGAGGCAGCAGUGGGGAAUAUUGGACAAUGGGCGAAAGCCUGAUCCAGCAAUGCCGCGUGAGUGAUGAAGGCCGUUAGGUUGUAAAGCUCUUUGCCCGGGAUGAUAUGACGAGUACCGGAGAAUAAGCUCCGGCUAACUCCGCGCCAGCAGCCGC